GAAAUGCGAUAAGUAAUGUGAAUUGCAGAAUUCCGUGAAUCAUCGAAUCUUUGAACGCACAUUGCGCCCUCUGGUAUUCCGGGGGGCAUGCCUGUCCGAGCGUCAUUGCAAACCCUCAAGCUCGGCUUGUGUGAUGGGUCCCGCGUCCGCCUCCCGGGGCGGACGGGCCCGAAAUGCAGUGGCGGCGUCGCGGUAAUCCGAUCAGCCAGAGCGUAUGGGGACAUCUCGUCACACGCUCCUGUAGGUCCGGCCGGCGGCCUGCCCAACCCCAACCUUUUUUUCAACCAGGUUGACCUCGGAUCAGGUAGGGAUACCCGCUGAACUUAAGC
rnacentral:misc_RNA from 1 species